GCUGACACAUCCCUGCCAAUCUCCGGCAGACCCUCCCUCCCAGACCCUCCCACCUCCUGGACAGCAUCCAUGUUGAACAUGGACUUCAACAUGGAUGCUGUCCAGGAGGUGGGAGGGUCUGGGAGGGAGGGUCUGCCGGAGAUUGGCAGGGAUAUGUCAG